rnacentral:rRNA from 1 species
AGGACGAACGCUGGCGGCGUGACUUAACACAUGCAAGUCGAGCGGUAAGGCCUUUCGGGGUACACGAGCGGCGAACGGGUGAGUAACACGUGAGCAAUCUGCCCUUCACUUUGGGAUAACCUCCGGAAACGGUGGCUAAUACCGAAUGCGACCACUCCACGCAUGUGGUGGUGGUGGAAAGUUCUGGGCGGUGAAGGAUGAGCUCGCGGCCUAU